ACAGCAGAGGACCAUGGUGAAGAUCAUCUCAAAAACCUGGACACGAAGCAGAGAGGAAAUUAUACACACAGGGACAUUUUGGGAGGGGUGAUACCUGAGAGAUGAGCAGGUCGACUUGGUUGGUCUUCUUGGGACACAGAGAGGCCUGGACAGCUGUGAAAAGUUCAUUAUCAUCCCCUUUACCACAGCACUCAAGCUAGAUAUGGAGAGAAUGUGAAAACGAUGGGAUGGGGAUUAUUAACUGGUAAAGGCAGAGGAGUUUUGAUGAGAGAACUGAUUUUGGAAACUCACUGUGUCAUGGAAGACCUCUAGGACUUUGGCAGCGGCCUGUUUGGAUGUCGUCUCCACAGGAUCCACAGCUUUAAUGUACGCCGUAUCAUAGAAGUUAAUGAGCUCAGUGGAGAUCUGGACGGACACAAAGAGGAGAGUGAUGCUCUCAAAAUGAAGGUCUUAACAAACAGACGUUGAGUCUUUGAGUGUAUAUGUGUGUGUAGACAUACUGUGUCCCUGUUAAUAAAGCCCCAUAUUCCUGCUGCCACCUCACAGGCGAAGAGGAUCACUAAACAUGUGAAGAACUGAGGGGGAAAAAGACAGAAAUGUGUGAUGAUGAAAGAAGUACUGGAAUAGGAAGGUCAUUCCAGAGGUCAUUUCUUCCUGCAUCUGGGGAAGAAACAUCUGACAGGUUUAGUGUUAUUCACGCACAAAAAAAGGGUGGGUGUCCUCUUCAGUCUGCUCUGCUGUGAUACCCUCUGUUUGCUUCUUUUUUUGUGAUUCAGGAAGCGGCAGCUUUACUCAGAGAAUGGUGGAUGUCAGGCAGAUGUAUUUUUUUUUUUGUUGGCAACAUGUAAAGUACAAUGACAGGAAACAAUACGCAUCUCGAGAGAGCUGUGGAUGUGAUAUCACACAACAUCAUUCUCAUGAAAGCCGAAGGUCUCGGAUGAAAACAUGAAUUUUAAUUUGCAGCGUUGGGAAGUAGACUUUUAUUAAGAUGAGUCAGAAAAUUACGUGAUUUUUAGUUUUAGUUUUUUGAAAGCGGUCGGUAACCAUCAUUUAUUUCCAGUAAUGAAUGUUAUUACAAAAUGUUUGUCUUGUUGCUAAAUGCUAAUUUGACUUUUCUCAAAACGCAUAAUUAGCUUUACUGUAUGAUAUCACUGUUUGAACAUCAUGUGAUGUUUUAAUCAGAGCAGACUGUAUGUCAACAUUUUAUGAAGUUAUGCACACACACA